rnacentral:rRNA from 1 species
AGAGUUUGAUCAUGGCUCAGGAUUAACGCUGGCGGCAUGCCUAAUACAUGCAAGUCGAACGAAACAGUUUACUGUUUAGUGGCGAACGGGUGAGUAAUACGUAUUUAAUCUACCCUUAAGUUGGGGAUAAUUACCGGAAACGGUGACUAAUACCGAAUAUCUUAUCGAAACACAAGUUUUGAUAAUGAAAGGAGCGUUUGUUUCGCUUUUGGAUGAGAAUACGUUGUAUUAGAUAGUUGGUGGGGUAACGGCCUACCAAGUCGAUGAUACAUAGUCGGACUGAGAGGUUGAACGACCACACUGGGAUUGAGAUACGGCCCAGACUCCUACGGGAGGUAGCAGUAAGGAAUUUUUCACAAUGGGGGAAACCCUGAUGAAGCAAUGCCGCGUGAUUGAAGAAGGUUUUAGGAUUGUAAAAAUCUGUGGUAAAGGAAAAAAAUCUAGGUAGAGAAAAAUACUUAGAAUUGAUAUUACUUUACUAGAAAGUCAUGACUAACUACGUGCCAGCAGUCGCGGUAAUACGUAGGUGGCAAGCGUUAUCCGGAUUCAUUGGGUGUAUAGUAUGCGUAGACGGAGAAACAAGUCAAAAAUCUAAAAAUAAGGCUCAACCUUAUACCAUUUUUGAUACUGUUUUUCUAGAGGGCAAAAGAUGUUAGUAGAAUUUCAUGUGUAGCGGUGAAAUGCGUGGAGAUAUGAAAGAAUACCAAAAGCGAAGGCAACUAACAUGUUUGUUCCUGACGUUGAGGCAUGAGAGCAUGGGUAGCAAAUAGGAUUAGAUACCCUAGUAGUCCAUAGCUGUAAACGAUGAGUGCUAGAUGUUUCAUGAGAAGUAUCGAAGCUAACGCGUUAAGCACUCCACCUGGGGAGUACGCACGCAAGUGUAAAACUCAAAGGAAUUGACGGGAACCCGCACAAGCG